rnacentral:rRNA from 1 species
CCUACGGGAGGCAGCAGUGAGGAAUAUUGGACAAUGGGCGCAAGCCUGAUCCAGCCAUGCCGCGUGCAGGAAGAAGCAUCUAUGGUGUGUAAACUGCUUUUGUACAGGAAGAAACACUCCCUCGUGAGGGAGCUUGACGGUACUGUAAGAAUAAGGACCGGCUAACUCCGUGCCAGCAGCCGCGGUAAUACGGAGGGUCCGAGCGUUAUCCGGAAUCAUUGGGUUUAAAGGGUCCGUAGGCGGUUUAAUAAGUCAGUGGUGAAAUCUGGUCGCUCAACGAUCAAACGGCCAUUGAUACUGUUAGACUUGAAUUAUAAGGAAGUAACUAGAAUAUGUAGUGUAGCGGUGAAAUGCUUAGAUAUUACAUGGAAUACCAAUUGCGAAGGCAGGUUACUACUUAUGGAUUGACGCUGAUGGACGAAAGCGUGGGGAGCGAACAGGAUUAGAUACCCUGGUAGUCCACGCCGUAAACGAUGGAUACUAGCUGUUCGGAGCAAUCUGAGUGGCUAAGCGAAAGUGAUAAGUAUCCCACCUGGGGAGUACGUUCGCAAGAAUGAAACUUAAAUGAAUUGACGGCUGAGUAGCGACGAGACACAGGAGGAGAGG